CGGCUUCCGGCUUCCGGCGGAGCCCGCCCUCGACCGGCUGGGCAGUCAUGGCUGCGGAGGAGAAGGAUCCCCUGAGCUACUUCGCGGCCUAUGGCAGCAGCAGCAGCUCAGGCUCCUCGAGCGAGGAGGACAACAGCGAGCCGGAGGAAACGAGUCGCAGGGCCCCGGAUCCGGCGACGUCGGCGGGCGGCUGCGGGAACCUGGCGGAGAAGCGGCUGCCUGGCCCCGACGAGCUGUUCCGGAGCGUGACUCGCCCGGCCUUUCUCUACAACCCGCUCAACAAGCAGAUAGACUGGGAGCGGCACGUGGUCAAGGCGCCGGAGGAGCCUCCAAAGGAAUUCAAAGUUUGGAAGUCCAACUAUGUAUCUCCUCCGGAGACCUACUCUGCUGAGAAGAAACCUCCGCCUCCAGAGCUGGACAUGGCGAUAAAAUGGUCUAACAUAUACGAGGACAAUGGUGACGAUGCCCCACCGAGUGCUAAGAAAGCUAGGCUUCUGCCCGAAGGGGAGGAGACCGUGGAGUCAGAUGAUGAAAAAGACGAGCAUACUUCUAAAAAGCGCAAAAUAGAACCAGGAGAACCAACAAAGAAGAAAAAAUAAAUAGAAAACAAAUGACAAGAAUUUUUGGACUGCGAAACUUGUUGAAAUGGUCCUUUUCGACAGAUUAAGUUGAUAUUGUAAAUUAUUAUGAAACAACAUCUUCAUGAAAGUUCAUGUUAAUUAACUAGCAAGAAACCAAUCGAAGCAGCCCCUAUAGAGGGCAGAGUGACAAUGCAGAACUUUACCUGAAACUGUGCCCAGAACAGUGAAGGCUGAGAACCCUGCGCUUCUGUGCUCCAGGAACCAGCCAAGGACGCCCUGCUAUCUGAAUUGAGACCCCCCUUCAUCCUUCAGAGCCCCCGGAGGGUGCCCGUGGGCCACGUCUGGUUUACCUGCCACCUUUGAGACAGUCCUCGUUUGUGAACAUUCUAUUACAACAGCCGGAAUAAAAUCCUAAUUGGUGCCUUUUCCAGGAGGCAUGGAGAUAGAGGUGGGAGACAUAUCAUUUAGACUGUCAAACCAUGUGACUGCAUGGCCUACUUUAAAAUUUUUAACUUAAAGUACAAAAGAAGCAAGAGAGAUUUCUGAUUAACGAAUGGCUAACCUGGGGACUUCUCAUCGUGGCUCGGUGGUAAUGAAUCCCAACUCGUAUUUAUGAAGAUGUAGGUUUGAUCCCUGGCCUCGCUCAGUUGCCGUGAGCCGUGGUGUAGGUCGCAGAUGCGGCUUGGAUCUGGUGUUGCUGUGGCUGUGGUGUAGGCCGGCAGCUGCAGCUCUGAUAUUCGACCCCUAGCCCGGGAACCUCCAAAUGCUGCAGGUGCGGGCCUAAAAAACAACACCAAACAAACAAAAAGGCUAAACUGGACGUUCCGUGCUGAUCUAGAACACAGAAAUUUUAAUUAUUUCAUUAACAAAUGCGUAAGGAUAAAACGGUCCCAGGAGUGAUUAAUAUGAGGGUUCUAUGAUUAGAGCCCCUAGGAGUGUAAAGAAAAGCUAUUAUAAUUUUUGACUGAUUGUAUUGAGAUGAUUUUUUCAUGCAUUUUAUUGCAUGGCGGUUAAGAAUACUCUAAAUGACUUUAAAGUCCAACGGCCCAGGUCUGACUUCAUCUCUUAUUUGGGACAAGUUGCUUAACUUCUCUGGCCUUGAGUUUCUUCAUUUAUAAAAUGGUUGAAUGCACCUCACGUAUAGGGUCAAAGGAGUUUAUAGAAAGGUUUUAGUCCUGCAAAGGGCCAGUUAUCAUUAUUUCUAAUGACUUAAUGGUUUCUAGAAUUAGAAAUUCUGCCCUGGGGUCCUGGCAUGGGAGUAGCCCGAUGGUCAUUGCAUCACAAUAGGGAACCCAGAAGUAGAUUGACGGUAAGACUGCUGUCCACUUGCUUUGCAUGGUGCCCCAUAGCACUGGUUUACAAACAGCAUCUGUUCUGACUGGCUCAUGCACACACUGCCCUGUGGUUUAUAUUCAGAAUAUACCCCUGGUCCCGGGACACAUGGAAAAAAGGUAGUACAUGCAAAUGUUGUACAUCAAUUCAGUGGUUAAGGAGGAUGGGUUUCGCUGGCAAACACUCACUCUAUACAUGGUCGAAGAAGAAGUAAGACCAUUAUCUUAUACUACAUAAACAUACAUUUCAGAUGAACUUGAGACUUAGGUGAAAAAAACGUAUCAAUGGAAAUUUAGCCCUAAACAUCGGAGAAUCUUUUAACAGGAAACCCAGAGCUGUAAAAGUAAUGGUAAAUAAUUACUCAAUUAAAACACACACACACACACACACACACCCCAAAAAACCAUAUAUAGUGUGGAAAAAGUACUACAAAAUUCAAUAGACAAAUGAUAGAUUAGGAAAAAAUAUUCCCAAUGCAUGUGAAAAAUGAAGGGUUAAGAACUUUAUUAUACAAAAGGCUAUUUUUAUUUAUUUUAAUUUAUUUAUUUUUUUGCCUUUCCUAGGGCAGCUCCUGCGUCAUAUGGAGGUUCCCAGGCUAGGGGUCUAAUCGGAGCUAUAGCUCCUGCACCAGAGCCACAGCAACACGGGGAUCCGAGCCGCAUCUGCAGCCUACAUCCCCAACCCACUGAGCAAGGCCAGGGACCGAACCCGCAACCUCAUGGUUCCUAGUUGGGUUUGUUAACCACUACGCCACAACGGGAACUCCAAAAAGCUAUUUUUUAAAAGUAACCUUAUAGAAAAUGGACAAAAUGUGAAAAGAUAAUAUAUGUAAGAGCAAAACCAGGAUGGUCACUGAACACAGAUGACACCACCGAGGAUCAGGGGACUGCAAACUGGAGGAACAGUGACUUCGCCGUUCCUUCACGGACAUCAGACUGGCAAAAUCAGAAGGGAGCUAACAACCCCUGCUUUCAGGAGCAUGUGGAAGGGGUGCUCGCACACUGCUGGUGGCAUUAUGCAUUCCUCCAGGAUUUUGGAAAGCAAAAUUAAAUUUUAAAGAUGUCCUUUUCCACUCAUACAAAUAAUUUUUCACUUAAAUGAAAGCCCCAGUAUGCAAGAGGUAUGUGGAUGUUUAUUGAAUCCCUGUUUGCCACUGGCUAAAACCGUACAAAUCAGGCAUUCGGCCGGUAUGGUCCAUCCUCUCAGUGGAACAAUUACGCAGUCACUGAACAGGACGCGGUUAGGAAGACACAGUUUUCGCAGGAAUCUCCACGGCCGAGUUUAGAUCAGGCACACAAAAUGCAGAGAAGCAUCUAUUCCACACACAGACACACAUGCACACACAGCAGAAAUUCAUCUGAUUAUAUAAAUAUGGGGAAAGAAAAGGACAUAUCUGUAGCACAUUUUUUAUAUUGAUUCCCUGGGAUGUACCAAACCACCAGCCAAGCAAUAGUUUUUAAAUGUUAAGUGCCCUGGAGCACUCCCGUCGUGGCUCAGCCGGUUAACGAACCCAGCUAGUACCCGUGAGGACACGGGAUCCAUCCCUGGCUCGGAUCUGGCGUUGCUGUGGCUGUGGUGAGGCCGGCGGCCACAGCUCCAAUUCAACUCCUAGCGUGAACCUCCAUGUGCCUCGGGUGCGGCCCUAAAAAGACAAGAAAAUAAAUACAUUGGUGAAAUUCUUUUAUAAAAGUUAAAUUAUAAUCCUGAAAAGAACUCUGUUAUAACAAGUUAUAUAAUAUUGCACAUCAACAACACUUGGGUAAAACUUACAUAUAAUAAAACCAUUUUUCACAACUGGUUUUAUAGGGAGAGAACACUGGGCAGUGAAAGCGGAUUCAGAAUAAGCGCGUGAGGGAUUAGGCAGCGAGAGAGAGCGCUGUUUCUGUCUGGACACACCCACUGUCUACAGCGUAACUGGACACACACACCCCAGUUUUCUCUUUUCUGGCUCCCCUGGGCUUCUACCUCCCAGCCCUCUCACCAUUGUCUGCCUGCUCCAUCUUUUUCCUUUUUGCCCGAAACAUCUGCAUGGUUUUCUUGAGUAUUAUGAUCCAGUUCCUUUUCUUUCACAAUAAGAGGCUUAUUGGGAUCUAAGUUUUAAUAAAUGUAUUCUCUCUUCAGUGACCAGGGUGUUGAAAAGCAAAAAGUACAAGCCCAGCUGAGUUUCUCAGCCGUUCUCGGUCCCUGGAGGGAUGCAUGGGCGUGGAGCCGUGGAUCAGGUCAGCACCGGACAGGGCCACCCCUGCUGGCUGGAAGCCUCACUUUGUCCCUGACAGGCCCAUUCUGCCUUUCUAGGGGUUGGAAACGCACGCUGGUGUCACAAGUGCCUCUCCCGUAGGGUGGCUGUAAAACUUUAGCCAUGUGUUUGUAGCAUUUUCCACCCAUUGCUGAAAGAGUUGAGGAAAUCCAGUGUUAAAUCUUGUUCCUGUGACUGCUGUGAUUCAUUUUGCUUUAGUGAUGCAACAGGUGAAAAAACAAUGGUUGCUUAUGAUCAGGACAAGGGUGAGAUUUGUAUAUGACCUAAAGAAUUGUCAUCUAUUUUUCCGUGACAAAAAUCUUAUUCAAAGGGCUCUCUGUAGUGAUUGGAUGUCAAUGCUUUUUCAAAUCAGAGCAUCUGUUUUGAUGCUUUGCAAAAUUCCAGUUGCUUUCUGCAGCUUCCGUAUUGACAGGGGCUAUCAGGCUUUCCCAAGAGGGUCUUAUCUGCAAGCUGCAGCAGGGACCCAGAGAGCUGCCAGACAGGUUUAGUGGGAUUGCAGGGCUGCCUGAGAGCUGGAGGCCAGGCUGGGUGCACUCAGCUCUCUCCUUUCAAGGCCUGCAGGCUUUGACCUGUAAGUAGGUGCCUACACAGGGUCUAAUCUGUCACACAAAAAUGCCUUAGCCAAAGUGGUAAUGCCCCUUAUUACCUGGCUUAGCAACAAUCUCAAGACACAUAUUUUGAGAGGUUCUUGUAUAAGCGAAACUAUGCCUGGUAUGUCUAUAAAACCCUCUUAAGAGAUGAUACAAUGAUGCAAAUUUAUUUAGAGCAGCCAAUGAGAACAAGUCCCUGCCUACCCCAGCUCUCAGGAGCAGCCCCAAAAUAACAAACCAACAGGUGCCCUUGGCGGGUGACGCCCUUUAGACUGAGCGCCAGUGUUCUGUUCUUGGGGACCGUGUUGUGCUCACGGGGGACGGCUUUUACCCUCUCUCCUCAUCGUGAUUUAUUCUUAAUGCCUUCAUUUAAAACAUACUUUAAUUUUUAAUGUUUUCUUGAUAGUUCAGAGAACCGUUUUCAAUUUGGGGAAAAAACCACUUCCUAAAAUUGGAGUGAACUUUGAUAUAACCUUAAAAGUAAAUUCCUGGUAAGAUUUGUUCUUUUAUUCUUAAAAUGGAGGCAGAUUGGGUAACACAUUGAAAGUAGGCCAUUGGCAAGUUAUUUGGGGGGAAAAGUAAUUAGAGGAGAGAUUAGGAGGUCCAUUCAACAAACACUAUAAAUAUUUGUAAUAGCUGUAACAGCACCUUCUAAUAACAAAAGCCUUUAUCAGAAUAGCCUUCCUCCUUUGCAGUGGGGGGGAACACCUGGGCCAUUCUGUCCCCUCCCCCCGCCCCCCGCCCCACGCAUCAAAGCCUCGGCUCAGUAUCACCAAUGAGAUAAACUACUAAAACACUGUCUUCCUUAAGGUGCAUUGCACCGAUGAGUUAUUGUUAAUAUUCUACAAGGGAAACAAGUUACAUUUACAAGUUACUUAAUACAUAUGGCAAGGUGCUCUCUCUGUCUGUUUUAGUAAAAGACAAAUAAGUGUUUACUGAGAGAAGGGUGAAGAUGGGUGUAGAGGAAGCAGGGUAGGCUCUGGGGUGGGGAGGGCACGAGGGGAGGGCGUGGCGUGUGGGGAGGGUUAGACAGAACAAGAGGAAGAGCAGGUAGCCUCUUAAGAAAUAUACUUUAAUGGAACUGGUUCCUUUGUGGUGGAAAAUAAUUAUUUGAAGGUAAACAAUGACUUAUGAGCCUUUCUUUUCCUUUCCUUUUUUUUUUUUUUUUUUUGAGUCUUUUUGAAGACUUUUUUUGACCACACCUGUGGCAUGCAGAAAUUUCUGGGCCAGGGAUAGAACCCAUGCCAUAGCAGAAACCAGAAAUGCCAGGUCCUUAACACACUGAGCCACCAGGGAACUCCCUGAAGAUAUUUAGAGGUUUCUAUCUAAGUUGGAAGAAUUUACAAUUAUUUGCUCUCAGCAUUAGCUCUGUGAUGGAGGGAAGGAAGCAAGUAUUGUUCAGUUUUCCAUUUUUUAAAGUGUCCACAAUUUAAUAUUAAAGUAACAACUCUGAAACAACUUAUUUUGUAACAACAAGAACAAACAGGUAUCCUAUUUAUUUAUCCUACAAUAAAUAGCUACAAGGUGUAUGCAUGAUACUAUAUUGUUGAUAACAUAGAUUGCUUGGAGUGUUGUCUCAAUUCCAGAAAUCCUGGUUUUGUCUCCAAGUCUUAGUCUGAUUUAUGUGUCUAUGUUAAGAUCACUACUGCCUUUUGCUUCACUUUCUCCCCACUUUUACUUUCACUCAUUCAUUCACUGGCUGUUGACCAUGUGGUACCAGGCUCUGAAGAUAGAAAGAACAAUAUUUGAGCUGCAGCUCGAAAAGUAGUUUGGUCCUAUCCAUGCUUGGUCCCUACUCCCAUGGAGCUCAUACCCUAGCUAGGGAGACAGACAGCAAACAGGUGAAAUACAUGCGUGAGAAGGAUCAUCACAGCUUUGGGCUCCUAUGAUCAGAGACUCUAGUUGCUGAGAUCUGAAGGAUGAGCAAGAACCAGCCAUGCGUCCUCUGCAGAGACUGCCCCUGAGCAGGAAAUGCCUUGCAGAUCUGAGAAGCGGAAGGCGGUCAGGAGUUCAGCACGGAUGAGGAGUGGGCAGAGUGGGAAAAGGUGAGGCUGGAGAGGUGGGCAGAAGCCACAGGAUGCAGGCAGAGGGAGGAAGUCUGGAAUUUAGUCCAGGAGCAGGAAGACCCUGCAUGGCUUAGGCAGGGGCGGGCCGGUGAAAGCAGAGGGAGCGUAUUCAGGAUCACGGGGCUGCCACGGGCAAAGAGAUGUGGCAACACGGAAAAAACGUGGUAAAAUCGUUAAAGUUCAGGGAAGAGCCCAUAUUUAGAAUCUUGUGUGCAGGUCGGUAUAAUGACUAAGUCAGGCCGGUUUCCACACCAAAAUUCUGUCACUAGGUCAAAAACUGACAGCCCCUUAAGUCCAAAGCCUUGGAACACUGUGCCAUCUCGGUGAGACCCAACCUUUAUUUCUGAAAUCAGUUUAUCCAGCUCAGAGGAUAUAUUAAAUCAACCAAGUGUGCAGUUCCUGUCGAGGCUCAGGGGAAGCGAAUCUGACCAGCAUCUAUGAGGACACAGGUUUGAUCCCUGGCCUUGCCCAGUGGGUUAAGGAUCCAGCAUUGCUGUGACCUGCAGUGUAGGUCAAAGACGCAGCUCAGAUCCUGUGUUGCUGUGGCUGUGAUGUAGGCCGGUGGCCUGGGAACCUCCAUAGGCUGCAGGUGCGGCCCUAAAAUGACAAAAAAUAAAUACAUAAGCAAACAAACCAAGUGAGUGACUUUGAUCCGUUGCUAGUCUUUCAAAGGACACAGAACAAUAUCAUGCCCAUUCUCUUCUUGGGCUGCAGGUAAUCAGAAAUCCUCGGUGAUCCUUCUUAUGUUUAGUGGUUCAGAAACGCCUGCCUCUUUUCAGGAUGCAGGAGCGAAUUUGUGGUGGGUGCACCCAUUUCUGUGCGUCAAAACUACAUUGCCAGGAGGGGCUUUUAUAUUGCUAGGACAUUUAGGUGUUUGGAGAGAAAUUCAUUAGGGCUUUUCUGAAGACUUGUCACUCAAUUAGGAGUUCAAGUUCAGCCUUUGCACUUGGUGGUUAUUUGUCUUGCUGAUGUUGGUGAAGACCUGCUCCUUAUCUUCCGAAAGGGGGGUUUCGGGUAGGUUCUUCACUGGUGGCCUUUUUAGUCAUACCUCAUCUUCCUAAUUCCACUUCGUCUUUCUGCCUUGACUGUAACUGACCUAACUCAUGCAUUUUCCUGGGUCCACCAGCUCGCCGAGUUCCCUGCGGUCCUCCAGGAGCAGUUCUGGGAAGCAAUUCGCUGUGCUUUCUCGGGCGGCUCAUUCUCUUGUUGAUAUAACGCUGUGGAAUCAAGUCUUUCAUCCCUGACAGGACUUGGCAGGAACCACUCCUUACUUCCCUGCGAUGUCCCUUUGGGGUGCAAGCCCUUCUCCUCUCACACAGCCUUGCUGCCGACCUCCUUCCCAAGAGCAAGGCUGUUCCCCUCUCCCCCUUCCACCCAGCAGCUGACGCCGCAUUCCUGCCAGGGCAGACCUCUCACUGCCAAGCACGCGCUGAAUUGCCCACCUCCAUGCCUGUGCUCACACGGUCCCAUGAGUCUAUAGCAAGGGUGCCCCCCAGUCACUCCGAGCCAGACAGCGCUUUUUUGUGUUUUGUCUUUUUGGGGCCGCACUCAUGGCAUACAGAGGUUCCUAGGCUAGGGGUCAAAUCGGAGCUGUAGCCGCCGGCCUACACCGCAGCCACGGCAACACUGGAUCAUUAACCCAUUGAGUGAGGCCAGGGGUCGAACCUGUGUCCUCAUGGAUAGGAGUCAGUUUCGUUUCGACUGAGCCACGACGGGGACUCCAUAGCCAGCCAACAUUUGCUCCCCGCCUCCUUCACGAAGUCUUUUCAGAGCCCUUUAAUCAGAAGUCUCUGUUCCACAGCUCAUUAGGCAUUUUUCCCAAGACCAUGCAAUGAGCUGUUCGGAUUUCCCGAAGACAACAAUUAGAACCCACAAGGUCAUUAGAUAAACAAAGGGUUAAGCCUGUGGCUAGAGUGGGGAGAAAAACAGCCAGACGUUUGGGAGAGAAGUGCAGCAUAGAGAGAAGCUUAGGCCUUGGAACCUGAUGUAAGCUUUUAGUGUGGAGUCCAAUAGUCAUUUCCAAGUUCUGUGACCUCGGACAAGUAACUUUCUCUCCCUGAGCUUCUGGCAUCUCAUCCAUGAGGCGGACGAGUGAGUCCUGUUUCUCAGAGUUAUGAGGAAUAAAUGACAUGAUAUAUGACGUCAUGCUUGGCCAGAGCUGGAUCUCCAUAAAUGUUAGCUCUCCUCCAACCAGUUCUGUGUGGGAAGAGAAGCAGGGGAUUGGUCUAGAAUUCCUAGCAGCAUGUAGAAACUCAGGUGAGGGCCAAUGUGUACAAAGCUGGGAACAAAGCAGGCAGGCAAGGAGAAGACAGGUGAGAAUUCCUGCAGGUCUCGAAUGAUGGAGACGAGGGGUCGUUCCCCCCCCCCCCCGGGGGGGGGGAAUGGGUACCGGCAGCAGAGUGUGACAGCACGCAGCACGGUUUGAGAACAGCCUCUAGGAACUAGUUAGGAAUUCCAACCACGGGUUUAGAAGCAUUGAAUCUGUGUGUCUUCGGGCUAGGCCUAGCGACUUUCUUUGAUCAAUGGAAUGUGGGCAGAAAUAGCUUGUCAGCUCCAAGACUAGGCCUUAGAAGACAUGCCAGGGGUAGCCGCUGCUCCUUCAGCCAGGCAGCCAAAUAAGGCCCAUGUAGCUAAGCUGACCUGUAGCCGUAUCACAGCUGCCCCAACUGACCUGCAAACCCACGAGAAAAAGUAAACAAUCGUCACUGUAUGCCCUGGAGAUUUUAUGGUUGUUUGCCAUGCAGUAUCAUGGCAGCAACUGCUGACUGAUACACCAUCUUUCUUUUGUGUUAGGUCAGUGGCAGGAGGAGCCCCAAACCUCCAGGUGGCAGUUUCCAAUUGCAAUUCGGUGGAAACAUUGUGUGUCCCUCCACAGACAAGGACCUCCCCACAGAGCUCAAAGUGCCAGGAAGGAAAGCAGACCUUCUGUUAGGGAAUCGCUAGACAUAUUGCUGAGAAUCCUACCUAUUCCGGAUUGCGUGUUUGUGUCCCACCCCCGCCCCAAACUCAUAUGUUGACGCUUUAACCCCCAAAGUGAUGGUAUUUGGAGGUGAGGCCUUUGGGAGGCAAUGAAGUUGAGAUGAGAGUGGUGCCUUCAUGACGGGAUUUAUAUUCUCAUAAGAAGAGAUGAAAGGAGUUCCCGUCGUGGCUCAGUGGUUAACGAAUCCGACUAGGAACCAUGAGGUGGCAUGUUCGAUCCCAGCCCUUGCUCAGUGGGUUAAGGAGCUGGCGUUGCUGUGGCUGUGGUGUAGCCUGAUUAGACCCCUAGCUUAGAAAAGAAGAAUGUUAGUGGUUGGUUGUUUGAAGCAUUUAUGUAAUAGCUGUGUUUGUUUGUUUGUUUUCUUUUUAGGGCUGUACCUGAGGCAUAUGGAGGUCCCAGGCUAGGGAUCCAAAUCGGAGCUACAGCUUCUGACUAAUGCCACAGCCACAGCAAUGUAGGAUCUGAGCCACAUCUGCAGCCUACACCACAGCUCAUGGAAGCAUCUGUUGUCAAGUCGGCAUUAGUGUCUACUGCCUGUCUUUUCCUGUGCAAGUUGAGAUUUUCUGGUUAUUCGUACCCUUAAAAUGUUGGCUUAUAUCCCGGACAUAUUGAGUGAAACUCUGGAUCUUGUUAAAAUCCUAUAAAGACUGUUGAUUUUUUUUUAACCAACGAUCCAUCUGGCUAGGUUAAAGUUGCAAGUUUCAACCCAUUUUCUGUGGGCUCUGUUUCCAGUGCAAGGUUAGUUUUUCAAAUCUUUGCGGCACUGUUCAGGUAUGUCCCACGCGUGGGUUACCUGGUGGUUAGUUUGGAACGUGGGUGGUGAUGUAUCUGUGAGCUCAGUUUCAGACUUCAAAACCCUGCUUAGGAUCAGACCCACACAUGCCGAGCUCGGGCGUGAGCCCAGGGGUUCAUGAACAAUCCGUCUCAGUCUGCUCAGGCUGCUAUAACAAGAAUGCCAGACUGGGUGGCUUCAACAAUAAGAUUCAUUUUCUACAGUUUCUUUAUUACAGUUCUGGAGGCUGGGAAGUCCGAGAUUAAGGCACCCAUAGGUUUGGUGACUGAUGAAGGCCCGCUUCCUGGUUCAGAGGCACCUGCCGUCUCACUGUGUGUUCUUGCGCGGCAGAGGGGGAGGGGCCCUCGGAGGUCUCUUAGAAGGGCCCUGAUCCCGCUCGUGAAGCCCCUGUGGCCGAAUCCCCUCCUAGAGGCCUCCUUCCUCAUACCAGCACGUUAGCUUUCAACAUACGAACCUGGGGAGACACGGGCAUCUGCUCUAUGGCACUGUCUGCCAGGUCCUUUUCAGUGCCUGGGCCUCUGCUUUUCCUGGGGGGCCCCCAAGCUGAGGUGUUAGUUAUGGCUCUCCGCUGCCACGCCUGUGAUUGUGCUUGAUCCAGGGCAAGUAGCAGGAUAAAGAGAGAAAAAGGCAGUUCGGGGUUUGUCUCACCUUCUUGGGGGUCCCAGCUCCCCUCCCUUGGAGUGUUGGCUUCUUCAGCUGUCCCUGUGGCCUCCGCCGUCACCACCACGGGACUGCUUGGUUUCUGGAGCACGCAGAACAGAGAGAAGAAACAUCCCAGGAAUUUCUGCACUUUCUGUGAGCACUAGGAGUUCCCUGGCGCCUCUGUCUUUGGGUCCAGCAUCCACUUCCGGGUGUGAGACUGCAUUGCAUUCAGGUCAAGACAUCCUGUAAUCAAAAAAAAAAAAAAAAAAA